CUCCGUGCUUGGUAGUCCAGUGCGUCGUGUGAAUAUUGGCAUUGUCUCUGUGCGAUGCGUCGUCUGGUGGAAAAAAAUCGAACUAAUGGAACCAUUGUGCCUUGUUUUUUCGGGUGUGAAUGAUAGAACGGGAACAUAUGAGGUGUAAAAUUCCGUGAGCGCAGAAUUUCAAGAAAAGAAAAAUGCCCGAGAGUUACGACGCAAAUCAAAAGAAUCAAGCGUCUGAGACACCGUAAUUACCGAUCAGUAGAACCUGCUUCAAAUCGAAGCUUUACAAUCGGCGUAAGGAUUAGAGAAAAAAGAGAAGAUUGAUGAUCAAAGUGAUUGGAAUCCUCUACUUCGCUUUUCAGUAUUCGACUUCAGGAUUUAAAACAAGCGUUUUCAUUUCAGCGACAAUCGUGACGAAGGAAAAAAUAUACCCUUUGCGUCGCGUGUCGAAAAUGUUAACUUUCGGUUGCGAGGUCAAUUUGCGUAACAAAGAAUUGUUGUUACUCGCUAAUUGCAAAUCCUGUGAAAUGAGCAGACUUGCCUAUAAUAUGAUUUCUUUUUCAUCUUUCCGUCACGCUGCGACAAUAUUAAGUGAGGAAAAAACUUUAAGCAUUGUUUGUACGAUGGAAAAAAAUAUUUGUCGAUUAUUUUUUUUCUAACAUUAUCGAGAUGCGAACAAAUUCGCAUAAUCGACUUAUCUAAAAUUUUCGCAAUUCAAGUAACGAGUCCGGAGCAUUUUUCAACCGAUUAUCGCAAUCGGUGCAGAUAAAAUAAAACUCACAGCGAUUAUUCGAGAUUCGUAAAUGCGGUGACUGAAAUGAUAAUUUGGCUACAUGUUUCCUCGACUUGAAAACAAGAAGAAUAAUUCCACGAGAACUUCUGUCACGCACAACUGUGCACACAUUGCUCAUUACUGAUUGUGAAUACAAGCAGUUGGGUCUUAUUAACCGUUUUUAACUCGCCUUAAUGACGGAAACUUUCCAAGUUAAUUAGAUGAAAAGUGUUACAAGUAAUAAUAAAAUGUCAACACUGCGUAGAGCAGUAUACACUGUUUUAAUUUUUGACGAUUUUCUAGCUCUACUGCAUUGAACCAGAAACUAAUUUUCACCACUCGAAGUAACUUCGAAGUUCUCUCGAGGAAAAGGUUUAUUCCAUUUUCUAUGUUAUUGCAAUUUUUGCGUUUCUUAGAAAAAUCUUUGAUGAAUCGAUUCCAUUAGAUUUGCAAAUACGAGACACGAAAUUAAGGAGACGAUCGGUUGAUUCAAUUCAAAUUUGUUUCCAUCAAACAAACCAAAU